GGAAAAUAUCGGAAUAAGUUUCAAAUAAUCUAAAACUAUUUCAAAAGCGUUUACGUGUACGUUCAAUUCUGAUUGUAUUGAACCUCUAUACCGUACAUUGUUUGAAUUUUUGAGUGUUGUUCGUACCUGUAUCGUAAGUACACAUUAUCAAAAAACAUUGAUAGAGUGUGGUAUCGGCCCCUCCUCUCCCAAAAUUCGCCCGGAUGACUAUAUCAAUACGAAGCAGUUUAUUAUAUUAUGUCAAAUUUUACAAUACUUUAUUGUUAUUGUCAAUAUCUGCGUACAAGUCGAGAAGAAAUUCACGGAGAGAAUAAAGUGGG